CCUACGGGAGACAGCAGUGAGGAAUAUUGGUCAAUGGCCGGAAGGCUGAACCAGCCAUGCCGCGUGAAGGUCAGUGCCCUAUGGGCGUUAAACUUCUUUUGUGCGGGAGCAAUAAUGGUCACGUGUGGCCAGACGAGAGUACCGUACGAAUAAGCAUCGGCUAACUCCGUGCCAGCAGCCGCGGUAAUACGGGGGAUGCAAGCGUUAUCCGGAUUUAUUGGGUUUAAAGGGUGCGUAGGCUGUGAGGUAAGUCAGCGGUGAAAUGCCCCCGCUCAACGGGGUGAAGUGCCAUUGAUACUGCCUGGCUGGAAUGCGGAUGCCGUGGGAGGAAUGUGUGGUGUAGCGGUGAAAUGCAUAGAUAUCACACAGAACACCGAUUGCGAAGGCAUCUCACGAAUCCGCGAUUGACGCUGAUGCACGAAAGCGUGGGUAUCAAACAGGAGUAGAUACCCGUGUAGUC
rnacentral:rRNA from 1 species